rnacentral:tRNA from 1 species
AAGGGUUUAGGAUAGAAUUCAGACCGGGGGCCUUCAAAGCCCCUAGCGGGAGUGAAAAUCUCCCAACCCUUG